ensembl:lncRNA
AGGGGGGAGGGGGGAGCAGAUUUCCUGCGGGGAGGCUGAAUGCAUAUGGAGAGUAGAUUUCCUGAAGGGAGGGUGGAGGCGUAGACGGACCGAGCGAAGACUGGUCUUCUUGUCGGAUUGCCUAUGCACUUGUUGCAGAAACAGCCAAGGCCCUGGCUCUGGAGGAUGCUGAAAGAGGAAGACACAGAAGCAGGACGACCCUGAGAGAUUAAGCCUCUUAAUCGUGAAACAGGCAUGUGGAAUCUUUUGGUCCCUGACCAGGAGCCAAACCUGGACCCCCUGCAUUGAAAGGAGAAGUCUUUACCACAGAACUACAAGGGAAGUCCCUCUUCUUCUAAGGACACAUUUCCUGUCGUGGGGGCUCCACCCUUGUGGCUCAUUUUAACUUAAUUGACUCCUGAAGGCUCCGUCUCCUGAUCCCAUCAGAUUGGGGGUUAGGGCUUUAACAUAAGAAUGUGGGGGCAUGGGGACAAACAGCCCAUAGCAAUGCUCCUGGAAGGUCCAGGAGCCCUGCAGUAAGCAGAGGAGGCCUUAGAGUUCCGAGCUUUCCUUGCUGUGGGAGAGGUGCAGUGUUCCCAACUGGAGCAGAUGGUUCUGUGGACUAGAAAGUUGGACGACAUUUACCGCAGAGCUGGAGGGAACCUGCAGGAGCCUGGUGAUCUCCUUGUCUUUUCAGAGCUUCGAUUUCUUAGUUUCAUAUGUCAGUGGUAAAGUUGUGGUUGCCAAACUUGGUCAGCCUCAAUGAAAUCUGGAUGGUUUAGCACUCAGUAUUCCCAUGAAGUAUUCUAUAACUUGGUGGGCCUCUGAAAAGGAGGCUCUUGGAACCAAAGCCUGGGAAAAUGGGUUAUUUCUUAGCACUUAAUCAUUUUGGGCAUUUCUUCCUGUUUCAUGGGGGGAAGAAAAGGCAGUAAAUUAAAACUGCUCCCUGUUUCAUGAGAGAUCAGUAUCUUACAGUGUCAUUUUAAAUAUAUACAAACACAGUAAUGUCCACAUGGACAGAGAUGUGCACACAGGAACACACACACACAUGCCAGGUGGAAUUUUUUGUUGUUGUUUUUUAAAUUUUUUUAAUGGAAGGAUAAUUGCUUUACAGAAUUUUGUGGUUUUCUGUCGUACAUCAACAAGAAUCAGCCC